rnacentral:lncRNA from 1 species
AGCAGGAACACGAAGACAAGGAGACGCAGGCCAGCUGUGGUGUGGGUGUGGCUAGUGCCGGGGAACAGUCUCUGAGGUGCAGAAAGUUGGCUGUGACUCAGACAUCAUUCUGAGCUACCACUCCACACUCUGGACCCCACAGCAACCGCUGGUUGGUCCAUUGUGUUCAGGUAUUUCAACAGGAACCCUGGCAGCUCCUGAACGUCUAUGGAAAAGGCAGAACAAAGAUUGAGGAGAAUUGAGCACGCUCUAAGGAACGGCAAUGGGUAAAAUUCUCAGCAGGAAAGGCUGGGCCCUGGUCUUCUGUUGUACCUACUGACCCGCAGCAGUUCUUGGUGGCUCGGUGACUUCCUUCGGUCACAGAUGUCACACCAGCCAUGGAGGCAACUUUCUCCC